UCAAGCUAUUCCAAGUCAUGAUGAAUCUUAAAUGAAUAUUGCUAAAUGAAGAAAGGCAUUCUGUAAAGACUAUCUAAUACAUGAUUGCAAUUUAUCGGCAAAACUGUAGAAACUAUAAAGAAAGCAGUGUUUGUCAAGGGUUUGGGCAGAGGUUGAAUUCAUGAAGCACAUGCAUUUUCUUAGGGCAUUGAAAUUAUUCUGUAUAACAUCAUAAUGGUGGAUUCAUACUACUUUGCAGUUGUCAAAACCUAUUGCACUUGCAGCACAGGACAUGAAAGCUGAUAUAUGCAAAUUAUUAAGAAAUAGGAAGUCAAGGAAUCCCAGGAUGAAAUGUUGAGUGUGAUAAAAGAAUCUAACUGUAUUUACCAAUGUAUGAAGCAACCUACCUGAAGGCAAUGCACAAAUGGUGCUGACCUAAGUAACUUUGGAGAAGGGUGGAUUCUGUUAAGACUGAAGGCAAUGUAAUCUUUACAUAAACUCUGCACUGUACAAGUUCAUAUCUUGUCCCGACAGGGCAUAUGUUAACAAUCCUGUACAUGUACAUUUGAGUUGAAUAAUUGAGUAAAUUGUAUACUUGGUACAUCCACUUUGGAAAAUGGUUUUACAGUUUCUUUCAAAGCUGAACAGAGUCUUCUUAUACAAUGCAGGUUUCUCACUUUUACAGUGGAAGGUAACAAACCAGCAAGAUGAGACUACUAGAAUGAUAUAUGUGGUAUUCAAUUAGAGUUGGAGAAAUCGGUAUCAAUUCGUGUUUCAUCUUAUGUAAAUUUAGAUAGAUGAUAGAUAAUGUGUAGUGUAUACAUGAGUUAGUGUUUGCGUAUGUAUUUCCUUACUUUGUCAGUUAACAGAGCCUAGAAACAUUGACUUUCUUGUAACAAUAGCACACCUAGCACCCAGAUUUUUGUUUAACAUUUAUUUUAGGUUUGGGAAUACAUGGGAAGGUUUGCUGUAUAGGUAAAUUCCAUGUCACGGGGGUUUGGUGUACAAAUUAUUUUGUCACCCAGUAAUAAGCAUAGUGCCCAAUAGGUAGUUUUUCGAUCCUCAUCCUCCUCUCGCUCUUCACCCUCAAGCAGGCCUCUGUGUCUGUUGUUCCCUUCUUUGUGUCCAUGUGUACUCAGUAUUUAAGCUCCGACUUAAAACUGAAAACACUUUAAAGAAAUUGAGAACACAACUAAAUCUUGAUUUCUGAUGUUAUUCUCCAAUACAAGGUACAAGUGCUCCAUGGAGAAAAUGGUGAUUCAGCGCCUGAGCCAUGAAAUAUACAAGAUGAGCCUGGAGAAUCCUGCAGUUCUAGAAAGGUGCUCCUUGACAUCCUAUGAAAGAAUGUCCUUGAAGAAAGAUGCUAAAAUGUUCAACGAUUUUUUUAAAGCAGAAAGUCUGAAGUAGCUGCGGUGAGUGACAGCUGAACACAAAUUUCUGACUACUAGAAGAGGAGUCAUGUUAACAGUACAUAAAUAUUCACAGAGAUGGUAUCUUUAAAUAUAACUUGCAAAUAAUCUCACAGUAAAAAUGUAUUUUUAUAUUACCCAGUGGAAUUAAAGUGAACUUUUCUUCUUUCCAUUUUCUUUGAUGAAUUUUAACAAAGUUGCUCCCAAUUUCAGCAUGUGCACAUUGGUUUAUGUUUUCAAAGAAAAAUGUUGUUAGUUUCAAUUGGCUUUAUAUUGAUGUUUACCAGGUGAUUAA
rnacentral:lncRNA from 1 species